UUGAUUUGGGAAGGUGACUACCUUUUUGGUUGACCAUGCAAAUGUUAAACCAACUUCAUGCUCCCAUGAGGUCGUUCACUCGGAUUGCCCUCCCUCUUUCGAUCACAUGGCUGUAACAUUUACUCAUGUUGCAUUGGGUUGGACCUAAUGUUCAACUUCGACUGAAACAGUGUAUUUGUGUGAGGCUGUAUAGGCUGCUGUCUUAGCAGGAGAGGGAGAUCAAACAAGACUGAUAAAGAGAGAGGGAGGAAGGGAGGGACCAAGAGAGAGGAAGGGGAAAGAGAACACCUGUAGCAUGAGAUGUUACACUCAAAGCAGACAUUCAGAAGGAGGGGGAUUAAUUAAGAGAAGAGGAAGCAAAAAGGUGAGAAGGUAUUAGCAGCUCUCAGCACACUGAACCCGAGUCAGUUAGUGAACACAGGGGGCAGCUUGUUAAAGCGACAAUGGUUUAACUUCUUCUGGACACCUGUUCAUCUAAACCAAGAGCACUUUUGAAAGAAGUGAACACAACUUUUCAGGUCUACCACUUUACCAUCUCCUCUUCGCACCUGUCAUGGCCGACCCUGCAUGGUGGAAACUCACCUUCCUGAAAAAAAAGAAGUCCGAGGCGAAGGUCCUAUAUGAAAUACCGCCUGACUUCAGCACCAACAAUGCAAAUAAAGACCUGGGAAACGAUGCAGCAGACAGCAAUUUGGAUGCCAGACUAGAAAAAAUAGUGGAUAAAUCUGCGACCAAGGGCCGUCACGUUAAAGUCUCCCAUUCUGGGCGGUUCAAGGAGAAGAAGAAGAUUCGCUCAACUCUGGCGGAAAACCCAAGCCUUUUCCCUGAAACUGCUCGGACAGACAAAAGCCAUGUGGAAAAAUAACACGCAGACAAAGAAUACCGUUUAGGGACUGUUUAUACCUGCAUACACAAUAACUCAAUUUUACUCAUUUUUAUUUAAAUGUGUUUGUUGAGCGGAGUUACCACUGACGCAGCGAAGAUACUGGAACAGAAAAUUAUUAUUAUUAUUUUUUUUUUACCACCCAUCAUGCUUUAAUUUAAAAGCAGCCCUUAAGAUUAAUAUUAAGCAGUUUAUAUUUCCUGUAGGCGUAAAUCAAAAAAUAUUGCCAUGCUCAUAAAAUACGAUAUUAUCACUAUGGGACAAAUAUACCUGAAAAGGCACAGAAAUCUCAAUUCUACUAACUUUCGUUUGUAAUUCAUACAAUCCUUUCAUUUUUAAAUUUCAUUUAAUGUGGGCAAUGGUCAUAAAAAUGUACAUUAUUGUGUAAUAUUAACUAAUCUCAAAACGUGGGAAACAGACUGUUGUUUAGCUUGCAUUUUGAUGGACUGAUGUGCCUUUUGAUUAGCACUUGAUGACGUGUUUAUGUUAUUUUUUUGUGGUUGAACAUUCAGUUGUACAUAGGAUUUUAUCUCUGAUUUUAUCAGUUUACCAUAAAAAGGGUUUAAAUUGUGGCAUGGACAGCCAAAGUCACAGCACGUGAGAGAUAAGUUCUCCAACUACCACUACAGCUUUAAUUUGCCCUGUUUAAUCUGUACUUUUCUAUUGUUUACUGCAAUCUUUAAAAAGUUAUUGUUAAAAUACGCUAAAUAAAGUUUUUAUUGACAUUG